GGAUCCCGUCCUGCAAGGGCUCCAACAUUAGACAAGACUAAUUCAGCUACUAGCCACUCCCUGUGAUUUCAGAAAGGUACUCUCCUUGGCUUUUCUGGACCAAAUUGCCCCACCCUUUGACACCCCAUAAAGGAUCUCUGUUUCCAGGUAGUGGCAAAUGCACCUUGCUACAUCCUCCAUGAAGCCUUCUUUACCUCAUUAUUUCCCUCAAAUAUUCACACUUGUUUGGAUUAUAGUUCAUGGGAAAAAGAGGCCUGAAGACUGAGUUUUGGGGUACUCUAAAUUUGGUCUAGAAAAUAAAGAAACAUAGAAGCAGAAUGGGAAGAAAUGACCAGAAGAAGAUCACAGAAAUUAAGUGUCUGGAGCCAAG
rnacentral:lncRNA from 1 species